rnacentral:rRNA from 1 species
CCUACGGGAGGCAGCAGUGGGGAAUUUUGGACAAUGGGGGCAACCCUGAUCCAGCAAUGCCGCGUGAGUGAAGAAGGCCUUCGGGUUGUAAAGCUCUUUUGUCAGGGAAGAAACGGUGAUCUCUAAUACAGAUUACUAAUGACGGUACCUGAAGAAUAAGCACCGGCUAACUACGUGCCAGCAGCCGCGGUAAUACGUAGGGUGCAAGCGUUAAUCGGAAUUACUGGGCGUAAAGCGUGCGCAGGCGGUUAUAUAAGUCAGAUGUGAAAUCCCCGGGCUCAACCUGGGAACUGCAUUUGAGACUGUAUGGCUAGAGUGUGUCAGAGGGGGGUAGAAUUCCACGUGUAGCAGUGAAAUGCGUAGAUAUGUGGAGGAAUACCGAUGGCGAAGGCAGCCCCCUGGGAUAACACUGACGCUCAUGCACGAAAGCGUGGGGAGCAAACAGGAUUAGAUACCCUGGUAGUCCACGCCCUAAACGGAUGGUCUACUAGUUGUCGGGUCUUAAUUGACUUGGUAACGCAGCUAACGCGUGAAGUAGAACCGCCUGGGGAGUAGGUCGCAAGNUUAAAACUUAAAUGAAUUGACGGCGNGAGAGAGCGAGACGACGACGAGGGAGGAGG